rnacentral:rRNA from 1 species
AAUGGGGGAUAACGUAGCGAAAGUUACGCUAAUACCGCAUAUGCCCUGAGGGGGAAAGUGGGGGAUCGCAAGACCUCACGUUUUCGGAGCGGCCGAUAUCGGAUUAGCUAGUAGGUUGGGUAAAGGCUGACCUAGGCGACGAUCCGUAGCUGGUCUGAGAGGACGACCAGCCACACUGGGACUGAGACACGGCCCAGACUCCUACGGGAGGCAGCAGUGGGGAAUUUUGGACAAUGGGGGCAACCCUGAUCCAGCCAUGCCGCGUGAGUGAAGAAGGCCUUCGGGUUGUAAAGCUCUUUCGGACAGAAAGAAAUCGCCAUUCCUAAUACGAGUGGUGGAUGACGGUACUGUAAGAAGAAGCACCGGCUAACUACGUGCCAGCAGCCGCGGUAAUACGUAGGGUGCGAGCGUUAAUCGGAAUUACUGGGCGUAAAGCGUGCGCAGGCGGUUUUGUAAGACAGGCGUGAAAUCCCCGGGCUUAACCUGGGAACUGCGUUUGUGACUGCAAAGCUAGAGUGUAGCAGAGGGGGGUAGAAUUCCA